rnacentral:rRNA from 1 species
CUACAGGCUUAACACAUGCAAGUCGAGGGGCAGCAUUUUAGUUUGCUUGCAAACUGAAGAUGGCGACCGGCGCACGGGUGAGUAACACGUAUCCAACCUGCCGAUAACUCCGGAAUAGCCUUUCGAAAGAAAGAUUAAUACCGGAUAGCAUACGAAUAUCGCAUGAUAUUUUUAUUAAAGAAUUUCGGUUAUCGAUGGGGAUGCGUUCCAUUAGUUUGUUGGCGGGGUAACGGCCCACCAAGACAACGAUGGAUAGGGGUUCUGAGAGGAAGGUCCCCCACAUUGGAACUGAGACACGGUCCAAACUCCUACGGGAGGCAGCAGUGAGGAAUAUUGGUCAAUGGGCGAGAGCCUGAACCAGCCAAGUAGCGUGAAGGAUGAAGGCUCUAUGGGUCGUAAACUUCUUUUAUAUGGGAAUAAAGUUUUCCACGUGUGGAAUUUUGUAUGUACCAUAUGAAUAAGGAUCGGCUAACUCCGUGCCAGCAGCCGCGGUAAUACGGAGGAUCCGAGCGUUAUCCGGAUUUAUUGGGUUUAAAGGGAGCGUAGGUGGAUUGUUAAGUCAGUUGUGAAAGUUUGCGGCUCAACCGUAAAAUUGCAGUCGAAACUGGCAGUCUUGAGUACAGUAGAGGUGGGCGGAAUUCGUGGUGUAGCGGUGAAAUGCCUAGAUAUCACGAAGAACUCCGAUUGCGAAGGCAGCUCACUAGACUGUCACUGACACUGAUGCUCGAAAGUGUGGGUAUCAAACAGGAUUAGAUACCCUGGUAGUCCACACAGUAAACGAUGAAUACUCGCUGUUUGCGAUAUACAGUAAGCGGCCAAGCGAAAGCAUUAAGUAUUCCACCUGGGGAGUACGCCGGCAACGGUGAAACUCAAAGGAAUUGACGGGGGCCCGCACAAGCGGAGGAACAUGUGGUUUAAUUCGAUGAUACGCGAGGAACCUUACCCGGGCUUAAAUUGCAACAGAAUAUAUUGGAAACAGUAUAGCCGUAAGGCUGUUGUGAAGGUGCUGCAUGGUUGUCGUCAGCUCGUGCCGUGAGGUGUCGGCUUAAGUGCCAUAACGAGCGCAACCCUUAUCUUUAGUUACUAACAGGUUAUGCUGAGGACUCUAGAGAGACUGCCGUCGUAAGAUGUGAGGAAGGUGGGGAUGACGUCAAAUCAGCACGGCCCUUACGUCCGGGGCUACACACGUGUUACAAUGGGGGGUACAGAAGGCGGCUACCUGGUGACAGGAUGCUAAUCCCAAAAACCUCUCUCAGUUCGGAUCGAAGUCUGCAACCCGACUUCGUGAAGCUGGAUUCGCUAGUAAUCGCGCAUCAGCCAUGGCGCGGUGAAUACGUUCCCGGGCCUUGUACACACCGCCCGUCAAGCCAUGAAAGCCGGGGGUACCUGAAGUACGUAACCGCAAGGAGCGUCCUAGGGUAAAACUGGUAAUUGGGGCUAAGUCAUAACA